AGGAAUUUUCAAGGACAAGAACCAGUGCUGGUAAAACUGUGGUCUCGUGUGGUUUUCCAUACCGGCUCUCGGCAAGGAUUUUCAAGAAAGGAAUACCAUCUCCAAAUCAUGAUGUGCCAAUAAGCUCCAGUUAGCUGCGGCCUUUUCCCCAGGCGGUAGUCCUGCAAUCUGAAUCCAGGAGAUGCAGCUCUGAAUCCAAUAUUUCAGAAGAAUGAAGAUGAUAAACUCAAUCCCGAAGAAAGAAAUCACCUUCAGUUCACAGCGUGGCCAGACAAGGACAUUUUUGAUAACGUCUCAUCAAUUAUAAAGUUUAGACAGGGAGUGAACGCCUUGCCGAGUACUUUUGACGGACCAGUGGUAGAGCCUUGCAGUGCUGACGUAGGGAGAACGGGAACCUACAUAGCUCUGGACAUUCUGACUAUAGAGUGUGAGGCAGAAGAGUUAUAGAUAAUCCGAGAUGUGUUCUCAACAUGAGACAGAACAGACUCAGACCUUGGUGGGAUGUUUGCUGAUAUAUCUGUUGUAUAAAAAUAAUUCAUCAACAGGCGCAAUAUGACAGAGACCGUUAAGAAUUGGUUUCACGGAUAAAAUUCAAUAGUACUCUUUUUAUCAGAAACAAGGUAAAAAGUGAGAUUUGUCAAACCAUUUAAACUCAAAAUAAUGCAUGCCUGGACAAAAAUGAGUUGUAAUACUUCUUUUUUUGUUUCUUGUUAUUAAUAAGUUAAUUCUGUUUUUCCUUCAUUCAUUUCCAAUUUUAUGCAAUUUAUAUGUCUUAACAUUUAUACUAAAAAUGCAAUUAUUGACAAAAACAACAGAGAAUGGAAUGGUCAACAUGUUCAAUGGAACAAACAUAUGACGUUUCACUCGGGCUAAUAUAACAUACAUGUUUUAGUCCAUUGAUGAAUCUAAAAAUCAGAUUUCUUAUAUGUUUUCUUUAUUACCGUAUGUUGUA